rnacentral:rRNA from 1 species
AGAGUUUGAUCAUGGCUCAGAAUCAACGCUGGCGGCGUGCCUCAGACAUGCAAGUCGAACGCGAAAGUCCCCUUCGGGGGACAAGUAGAGUGGCGCACGGGUGAGUAACACGUAGGUAAUCUACCUUCGGGUGGGGAAUAACCCAGGGAAACUUGGGCUAACACCGCAUAAUGCAGCGGCACCACAUGGUGACAGUUGUUAAAGCGGGGGAUUUUAGGACCUCGCGCCUGAAGAGGAGCCUGCGGCAGAUUAGCUAGUUGGUAAGGUAACGGCUUACCAAGGCGACGAUCUGUAACCGGCCUGAGAGGGCGGUCGGUCACACUGACACUGACAUACGGGUCAGACUCCUACGGGAGGCAGCAGUCGGGAAUUUUGGGCAAUGGGCGAAAGCCUGACCCAGCAACGCCGCGUGAAGGAUGAAAUCCCUCGGGAUGUAAACUUCGCAAGAUUGGGAAGAAUUAGUAGGGGUUAAAUACCCCCUAUGAUGACGGUACCUUUUGUAAGCUCCGGCUAACUCCGUGCCAGCAGCCGCGGUAAUACGGGGGGAGCAAGCGUUGUUCGGAUUUACUGGGCGUAAAGGGCGCGUAGGCGGUCAGCACAAGUCAGUUGUGGAAUCUCCGGGCUUAACUCGGAAAGGUCAACUGAUACUGUGCGACUAGAGUGCAGAAGGGGCAACUGGAAUUCUCGGUGUAGCGGUGAAAUGCGUAGAUAUCGAGAGGAACACCUGCGGCGAAGGCGGGUUGCUGGGCUGACACUGACGCUGAGGCGCGAAAGCCAGGGGAGCGAACGGGAUUAGAUACCCCGGUAGUCCUGGCCUUAAACGAU